UGUGUUUGUAAGUGUGUAAGGGCGCAUGGUGGAUGCCUUGGCACUGGGAGCCGAUGAAGGACGUGGGGUGGAUGCCUUGGCACUGGGAGCCGAUGAAGGACGUGGGAGA
rnacentral:rRNA from 1 species